rnacentral:rRNA from 1 species
CCUGAGAAACCCAAAAGAUCGAAUGGGGAGAUUCAUCGUCAGCUCAUUUUGUAUAUGUAAGAGUUAUGAUGCGAGUUACUCUUGAGUAUUGCUUGUACGUACUUUUAUAUUUAUUUGCAAGAUGUUGUCGGCGUGCACUUCUCCCCUAGUAGGACGUCGCGACCCGUUGGGUGUUGGUCUACGACCCGAGUGGGAGACUUUAAUAUUUUAUUAUAUUAGAGACCCUUGGUGUUUUCUGACCGGCUGCCCGGCGGUACUCGUACGGUAUUUAGCCGCAUUUAUUUGCGUCCAUGUCCGUCGCAAGCGAGGCUAAUUUCUGGCAGUGCGGACCUAGUGCCGUCGCUGGAGUUAGCCAGCUGUUGGUUGUACGGAAUUCUAGGACUGGCUAAAAAUAAUUACCGGUCGGCGAUGCUACUGCUUUGGGUACUUUCAGGACCCGUCUUGAAACACGGACCAAGGAGUCUAACAUGUGCGCAAGUCAUUGGGAUUUUUUU